rnacentral:rRNA from 1 species
CCUACGGCGGCUGCAGUGGGGAAUAUUGCACAAUGGGCGCAAGCCUGAUGCAGCCAUGCCGCGUGUGUGAAGAAGGCCUUCGGGUUGUAAAGCACUUUCAGCGGGGAGGAAGGCGUUAAGGUUAAUAACCUUGUCGAUUGACGUUACCCGCAGAAGAAGCACCGGCUAACUCCGUGCCAGCAGCCGCGGUAAUACGGAGGGUGCAAGCGUUAAUCGGAAUUACUGGGCGUAAAGCACACGCAGGCGGUCUGUCAAGUCGGAUGUGAAAUCCCCGGGCUCAACCUAGGAACUGCAUUCGAAACUGGCAGGCUAGAGUCUUGUAGAGGGGGGUAGAAUUCCAGGUGUAGCGGUGAAAUGCGUAGAGAUCUGGAGGAAUACCGGUGGCGAAGGCGGCCCCCUGGACAAAGACUGACGCUCAGGUGCGAAAGCGUGGGGAGCAAACAGGAUUAGAUACCCUAGUAGUC